rnacentral:rRNA from 1 species
GACGAACGCUGGCGGCGUGCUUAACACAUGCAAGUCGAACGGAAAGGCCCUGCUUUUGUGGGGUGCUCGAGUGGCGAACGGGUGAGUAACACGUGAGUAACCUGCCCUUGACUUUGGGAUAACUUCAGGAAACUGGGGCUAAUACCGGAUAGGAGCUCCUGCUGCAUGGUGGGGGUUGGAAAGUUUCGGCGGUUGGGGAUGGACUCGCGGCUUAUCAGCUUGUUGGUGGGGUAGUGGCUUACCAAGGCUUUGACGGGUAGCCGGCCUGAGAGGGUGGCCGGCCACAUUGGGACUGAGGUACGGCCCAGACUCCUACUGGAGGCAGCAGUGGGGAAUAUUGCCCAAUGGGCGGAAGCCUGAUGCAGCAACGCCGCGUGCGGGAUGACGGCCUUCGGGUUGUAAACCGCUUUCGCCUGUGACGAAGCGUGAGUGACGGUAAUGGGUAAAGAAGCACCGGCUAACUACGUG